UAUUAUGUACAUGCCUACAACAUAGCAUUAAUACAUCGGAUCCCAUUAGAACUCUAAAUUUAAGCACGCUUGGGCUAGAAUAGUACUAGAAUGGGUGAUCGCCAUGGAAGUCCUAGUAUUUUAAAUGC
rnacentral:rRNA from 1 species